rfam:Gossypium hirsutum cultivar TM-1 unplaced genomic scaffold scaffold1142.1, whole genome shotgun sequence
UGUUAAAAAAUUCAUACAUUUCUACUGUUAAAAACUGGCACGGUUAAUAGAAUAACAAGACACGUGACGUGUCAUGUAUACCUCAUAUUGACGGACAAGGACCAUUUUUUUAAUAGUAGAAAUAGAUGAAAUUUUUAACA